AUAAACACUUAUACCGGAGACUUGAAUACAAAUAGCUGACAUGCUCUCACCAGAGUUUUAUUUCUUAACAUGCUAGAGUGGUACACUGCUGAGUUAAAUAAAACUACUGAAGGCUGCUGUACUUUUUUAAUAUUAUUGUAUAAUUUUCAGGUUUAUAAUGAUGAAUAUGGAAGAGACGAAAACCGAUCGUAAAGAGGAAUGGGCUGAAAAAUCCACAUGAAGUUCGGCGUGGUGUUAUAUUAUAUUCUCACUGAAAUGUACAACUAUUUAAAUCGCAAAUGAAUAAAAUAUUGUAUUUUAUGAAAAUGACGAUGAAGCAGUAAUGUAAAUAGAGAUGGCCUUGCUAGAGAAAAAACAAACUUCUAAAAGAAGAAAAAUGUAAACUAAAUUAAAAAUAGUGAAAAGCAAAUUACAGGAAAUGGAAAUCAAUUAAGGAUAACACAUAAGCAGGAUAUAAAUUAUGUUGCAACAAUCGCAAGAACAAUAUGAAUAAAAAACGUAAGAUAAGAAGAAAACCUUUGUCAAAAACACAAGAUAGUUUUGAAGAACAUGAUCUUAAAUUAGAACAACUAAUUGGCAACAAUUAAAAACAUAUAUACAGUAAACAAACCAUUGUAAUGUUAAAAAAGAAACUUGUUGUCAAACUCACAGGGAUUCUUACAAAAAGAAACUGAAUUUUCAGUAAAUGAAUCUACUAAAAAGUUACAAAGCUCAUCCUCUAUAGUUGAAGCAGGUAUAUCUGACCACACAGCCCAAAUAACCAAUGCACAGUUUGAAUGAUGUACCACUUCCCCAUCAAUGUUAAGCAAAUAGAAUUCAAAAUAUAAAACAUCAGUGCAUUAAGAGCUCUGUUAGAUAAAUGAAGAAUGGAAUCGAAUGUACAAUACUUCAAAUGUUGAUGAUGUGGUCAAUUUCUUAACAAUGAUUGAAAUAUCCAUUUAUGAUACUUGUACACUGGUAUCAAGUAAUCUCCAGAAAACUCCAAAAAACAAGACAUUCCCAGUUAAAGAAGCCAUUAAUCUCAAGACAUAAUACUCUACAUGUCUUAGACAUUAAUGGAGUUAACCACAUGCUUUACCAACACCUGAGAGUACUUCUGAAUCACUUGAUUCUGGGUCAGAGUUAACAUUAUUUGUUGUUUUAUUAGUGUUGGGUACCCUUGCUGAGUUGGUGGGGAUACUUUCUUUGCACACAACAGCUUAUUUUGGGCUAAAGCUAGCAUAUCGGAUAUAAAAGGUAUCUACUCCAUGCUAAUGGGUAAAUUCGGUACAUAAGAGGUUGAGGAUUUGGUUGAAUCUCCAUGGAAGGCUGGGCCUGCUAUGCAAAAAAUUCCUGUUGCAACUAAUUUAGUUAUUGUAGACACUUGAGAAUUUUUUAAUACAUUUAUUCUUGCGAUUUGAAUUUGUUUUGAUACGAAGAAUGCUGCAACAAAUCUUUGACGCAAGUUCCUUGAGUUGUUGUCACAUUCAGUUUAGCCUGUGAUGAGAUCAAGUUGUAGUCCACAGGAAGUGACAUCAUUAUGUGUUGAUUGUGAGUUAAUAUUACAGGUUGAGUAUGCAGCUGAAACACUUGAGGAUGACUAAUUUAAGUCUGGCUACUUUUAUAGGCAAAAUUGUUUUGUUCAUAUACAGAUUUUGCUGGAGCAAGUUGAGCUGCUGUUGUUGAAAAGUAUAAUAAGCAUUUCCUGUUGAGUUUGAUAGCUAUUAAGUGAUUUUGGAUGAUGUUGCGCAAGACCUGGACUCUGGCUUGUCAAUGGAGGAUUGAGUACAGCAUAUCUUGGAGGAACUUCUACAGAAGAAGAAAGGUUGACUAGCAGCAACUUGUAAGGUCUUAAAAUUAGCAGCAUCCUGAUGUACUUAGAAGCCUAUAUGAAUUCGAAGAGGACACACUGUAUUCUAAAAUAGCAUUUCCCAUAUGGAUUUUUCCUUGCUGUGUCAUGUUGUCCAAAGUCAAUUUUUUAUGGAAUCCCAAUCUUCUUGCUUUUCUUAGGUUUAGAAUGAUGAAUAUGGAAGUGGCGACUACUAAUGGUAAAGAGGAAUGGGCUGAAAAAUCCACAUCAAGUUCAGAAUGAAGAAUAUGGAAGUGACGGAAACCAACUGUAAAGAAGAAUGAGCUGAAAAAUCUACAUCAAGUUCUGCUCACCGUCAAAGCAACGAUACAGACUGAAAAAUAGUAUAUCUGCUUAAGCAUAUUUUUUAUAAUUAAACAACUGUUUUUAUUCGGCAAGAACCAUCGGUGAUCUCCAAUCCAAUCAUGCGUCAACGAUAGCCCACCCGGUCUGUCAAAGUGUCAGAAUUAAACACAACACAUCUAAUUAGUCACUAAACAUCAGCAUACGUAUGUUUGGACAACAUGUUACUGCAAGAAAACAUGUAAAUGGGAAGUGCCAAAUCGGAAUACAGUGAUCCUCUCCAAAUUCCUACAGACUUCCAGGUCGCCUGCUUAGAGGCAAUGCUAAGCCUUGAAACCUGCUGCAAGCCAACCUCUCUUCUUCUGCAGGCGUUCCUCCAGGAUAUGACGUACUCAAUCCUUCAAUGACAAGCCAGAUUCAGGUCUUGAGCAAUAUCACCCUAGAUCAACUAAUGGCCAUCAAACUCAUUAGGAAAAAGUCAUUAAUGCAUUUCCAACAUCAGCAUGCUCAACUGAAGUGUUUCAGCAUCAAACUUAACCUGUAAUAUUAACUCACAAUCUGCACUUAAUUAUUUCACUUCCUGUGAACCACAACUUGAUCUAAUCCCAGGCUAAACCGAAUGUGACAACAACUCAAGGAACUUCCGUCAAAGUUUCGUUGCAGCAUUCUUCGUAUCAAAACAAAUUCAAAUCGCAAGAAUAAAUGUAUUAAAAAAUUCUCAAGUGUCUACAAUAACUAAAUUAGUUGCAACAGGAAUUUUUUUGCAUAGCAGGCCCAGCCUUCCAUGGAGAUUCAACCAAAUCUUCAACCUCUUAUGUACCGAAUUUACCCAUUAGCAUGGAGUAGAUACCUUUUAUAUCCGAUAUGCUAGCUUUAGCCCAAAAUAAGCUGUUGUGUGCAAAGAAAGUAUCCCCACCAACUCAGCAAGGGUACCCAACACUAAUAAAACAACAAAUAAUGUUAACUCUGACCCAGAAUCAAGUGAUUCAGAAGUACUCUCAGGUGUUGGUAAAGCAUGUGGUUAACUCCAUUAAUGUCUAAGACAUGUAGAGUAUUAUGUCUUGAGAUUAAUGGCUUCUUUAACUGGGAAUGUCUUGUUUUUUGGAGUUUUCUGGAGAUUACUUGAUACCAGUGUACAAGUAUCAUAAAUGGAUAUUUCAAUCAUUGUUAAGAAAUUGACCACAUCAUCAACAUUUGAAGUAUUGUACAUUCGAUUCCAUUCUUCAUUUAUCUAGCAGAGCUCUUAAUGCACUGAUGUUUUAUAUUUUGAAUUCUAUUUGCUUAACAUUGAUGGUGAAGUGGUGCAUCAUUUAAACUGUGCUUUGGUUAUAUGGGCUGUGUGGUCAGAUAUACCUGCUUCAACUAGUGAUGUUGUCUAUAGAAAUUGAGGAUUGAAACGUUAUCCUUGUGGCAGGAAUGAACAGUCUAUAAAGAACGUGUAUAUUUAGUCUCUCAUUUAAAAUAAACUUAUCCGUGCUAUGUGUCUUUAAGCUGUCUACAUUUACAUCACCUGUCAUGACGUUGAUAACAUUGAUGGUAAAAGUUGCUAUACAUAGUAUUUAUGAUGGCUGAUUUUAGUUAUCCUUUAUAAUAAUACUAUUAUGAAAACUAAAAUUGCAAGAUUAGAAAAAAACUUAUAAUCUAACGUACAUAAGAUUUUUUAUUCAUGUUACGUUACUUGUAGCCUAUUGACAAUAAUGUUUUAUUGUUAUUUUCAAAAAAUAAAAUAAUGAAUUGUUUUGAAA
rnacentral:lncRNA from 1 species